GGGGAUAUAGCUUGGUGGUAGAGUGCUUGCCUAGCAUACAUGAAGCCCUGGGUUCAAACCUCAGUACCUCA
rnacentral:tRNA from 1 species